rnacentral:rRNA from 1 species
CUACGGGCGGCAGCAGUAGGGAAUAUUGCACAAUGGGCGAAAGCCUGAUGCAGCAACGCCGCGUGCGCGAUGAAGGCCUUCGGGUUGUAAAGCGCUUUUCUGAGGGAAGAGGAAGGACUGUACCUCAGGAAUAAGUCUCGGCUAACUACGUGCCAGCAGCCGCGGUGACACGUAGGAGGCAAGCGUUAUCCGGAUUUACUGGGCGUAAAGCGCGUGUAGGCGGUUUGGCAAGUCGGAUGUGAAAGCUCCUGGCUCAACUGGGAGAGGUCGUUCGAAACUGCCAGACUAGAGGACGGUAGAGGAAGAUGGAAUUCCCGGUGUAGUAGUGAAAUGCGUAGAUAUCGGGAGGAACACCAGUGGCGAAGGCGGUCUUCUGGGCCGUUCCUGACGCUGAGACGCGAAAGCAUGGGUAGCGAACGGGAUUAGAUACCCGAGUAGUC